GUGGGGAAUAUUCCGCAAUGGACGAAAGUCUGACGGAGCAACGCCGCGUGAGUGAUGAAGGUUUUCGGACUGUAAAGCUCUGUUGUUUAGGACGAAAGUGCCUGUUGCGAACAGUUACAGGUAUUGACGGUACUAAACGAGGAAGCCACGGCUAACUACGUGCCAGCAGCCGCGGUAAUACGUAGGUGGCAAGCGUUGUCCGGAAUUAUUGGGCGUAAAGAGCAUAUAGGCGGAGAUUUAAGUCUGGUGUGAAAAUGCGGGGCUCAACCCCGUAUUGCGAUGGAAACUGAAUUUCUUGAGUGCAGGAGAGGAAAGGGGAAUUCCCAGUGUAGCGGUGAAAUGCGUAGAUAUUGGGAGGAACACCAGUGGCGAAGGCGCCUUUCUGGACUGUGUCUGACGCUGAGAUGCGAAAGCCAGGGUAGCGAACGGGAUUAGAUACCCGUGUAGUCC
rnacentral:rRNA from 1 species